AGUGAACGCUGGCGGUAGGCCUAACACAUGCAAGUCGAACGGCAGCACAGUAAGAGCUUGCUCUUACGGGUGGCGAGUGGCGGACGGGUGAGGAAUACAUCGGAAUCUACUUUUUCGUGGGGGAUAACGUAGGGAAACUUACGCUAAUACCGCAUACGACCUACGGGUGAAAGCAGGGGAUCUUCGGACCUUGCGCGAUUGAAUGAGCCGAUGUCGGAUUAGCUAGUUGGCGGGGUAAAGGCCCACCAAGGCGACGAUCCGUAGCUGGUCUGAGAGGAUGAUCAGCCAAACGGGAACGGAGACACGGUCAAGACUCCUACGGGAGGCAGAAGUGGGGAAUAUGGGACAAUGGGCGCAAGCCUGAUCCAGCCAUACCGCGUGGGUGAAGAAGGCCUGCGGGUUGUAAAGCCCUUUUGUUGGGAAAGAAAAGAAGCAGGUUAAUACCCCGCUGUUCUGACGGUACCAAAAGAAUAAGCACCGGCUAACUUC
rnacentral:rRNA from 1 species